rnacentral:tRNA from 2 species
UCUUCGAUGGUCUAGUGGUCAUGAUUUCCGCUUGUCAAAGCACCUGCUUUAGCAAGCGCGGGAGACCGGGGUUCGAUUCCCCGUCGGAGAG